GAGCAAGACAGAAAUGAUCUUUGUCAACACAGAGCCUCAUUGUCUAAGUAGGGAAACAAUCAGAACAUAUUGACUUCUGCUUCUGGAAAGAUGGAGUAGAAGUAUGUACCAGUAUCCCUUCCACCAAAGUACAGCUAAACCCCCUGGAUAUUAUAUGUUAGGAUGAACAUAAGAAGACUCUGAAAGGUGGAGAGAAGGCAGACUGGCUAGGGACCUUGGGACUUGAGAAACGACAUGGUGAUUCUGAAUUCCAUUAGGACAACUGAUGCCAACCAGUUUGAAGACCCCCACAGAGGAACCGAAUCAGCAUGAGAAUACAGCUGUUUCUUCUCCCUGUCCCAUGACUUCACCCUGCACUCUUCAACCCAUCAACAAUUCAACACUUCGGCCUCCUCCAACACCCUUGAAAUCCCUAGCCCC
rnacentral:lncRNA from 1 species